AUCUUGCAGAAUUUUUUAAUAUACUUACAUGAAAAAGCUGAAUCUUUUUACACGAAAACAGUUUUUAUAUAAAUAACCAAACACAACUCAUGGAGCUCGACAUAGCUUUGAAGUGAUCUCACUGUAAUGAAAAAACUCAUCUAUAAUCUGAUGACAUUGAUCCUACGUUUUUAACCAUGUACAGAAUAUUCUGUCCUGCAUAUUGCUUACAUGGUUUACAUAUCUACUCAAUUAAUUAAAGAGGACAGAAUCAAUUAAGUAAAGAGGACAGAAUCCUAAUCAAAAUUCAAACUAGCAAAAAUGGUUAUGAGCCAACAACAUGUACAAUCAAGCAUCAACUCAAAUGUGUAAAUGAACUUUGUAAGCUUGUCACCAUGCUAGCAUCUUUGCCCUGCCAUGGAUCUUUGUGCCAGCUCCUGCUUUAUAAGCUCUGAGACAAGGGACAUGAAUACUCAAUUGUUAAAUCAAAUCACACUUAACAAAUUCACAUUUUAACGUCAAUGAAUAGAGGAUGGAAAACCAUACUCUUAAUUGAUGAUCUAAACUCAAUUAUAAAUACAUAAAAACAGUCACAACUCGUAUCGUAUGUAAGUAGUAACAAAAUUAUCACCACUCGUGUGAGAGUUUGCAUGAGUGGUCAAUGU
rnacentral:lncRNA from 1 species